rnacentral:rRNA from 1 species
UACCAGCACCCCGAGUGGUUGGGACGAUUAUUGGGCCUAAAGCAUCCGUAGCCGGUCCUACAAGUCUUCCGUUAAAUCCACCUGCUUAACAGAUGGGCUGCGGAAGAUACUAUAGGGCUAGGAGGCGGGAGAGGCAAGCGGUACUCAGUGGGUAGGGGUAAAAUCCUCUGAUCCAUUGAGGACCACCAGUGGCGAAGGCGGCUUGCCAGAACGCGCUCGACGGUGAGGGAUGAAAGCUGGGGGAGCAAACCGG